rnacentral:rRNA from 1 species
UACGUAGGCAGCAAGCGUUGUUCGGAAUUACUGGGCGUAAAGAGUGUGUAGGCGGUGCUCUAAGUUCGUUGUGAAAUCUCCCGGCUUAACUGGGAGGGUGCGGCGGAAACUGGAGUGCUUGAGCGCGGGAGAGGAAAGCGGAAUUCCUGGUGUAGCGGUGAAAUGCGUAGAUAUCAGGAGGAACACCUGAGGUGAAGACGGGUUGCUGGGCUGAUACUGACGCUGAGGCGCGAAAGCUAGGGUAGCAAACGGG